GAUGAACGCUGGCGGCGUGCCUAAUACAUGCAAGUCGAGCGAACGGACGAGAAGCUUGCUUCUCUGAUGUUAGCGGCGGACGGGUGAGUAACACGUGGAUAACCUACCUAUAAGACUGGGAUAACUUCGGGAAACCGGGGCUAAUACCGGAUAAUACUUUGAACCGCAUGGUUCAAAAGUGAAAGACGGUCUUGCUGUCACUUAUAGAUGGAUCCGCGCUGCAUUAGCUAGUUGGUAAGGUAACGGCUUACCAAGGCAACGAUGCAUAGCCGACCUGAGAGGGUGAUCGGCCACACUGGAACUGAGACACGGUCCAGACUCCUACGGGAGGCAGCAGUAGGGAAUCUUCCGCAAUGGGCGAAAGCCUGACGGAGCAACGCCGCGUGAGUGAUGAAGGUCUUCGGAUCGUAAAACUCUGUUAUUAGGGAAGAACAUAUGUGUAAGUAACUGUGCACAUCUUGACGGUACCUAAUCAGAAAGCCACGGCUAACUACGUG
rnacentral:rRNA from 1 species